rnacentral:misc_RNA from 1 species
GGGACAUACUUUACGAUAUGGUAUGGUACAUUAGAUAAAUAAACUGCCUGUCUUCCCCAAGCAUGCUGGGCUGGUCAGUCAGCCAGCUGGAAAUUUCUUGAGAUGGAUUGCAGAAAUUCGUCAAAGAUGGAUGCUUUUGAAUCACGCAGCGCUCAAACAGUUCUCCCAAGCACCAUACUUUGAACAAAAGCUGCCACCGCC